GUCCAGCAUUAAAAAAUACCUCCUUGGACAUCAAUUCAUCAACCGAGGGAGCCUCAAAGUCUCUAAGAAUCUUGAAGUGACCUUCUUCCUUGGCCUCCAGCUUUGGGAUCUUUAACACUGAAGCCUGUGGCCAACCCUAGCUCGGCAAGUUCCAGCCCUCGAUCGUGGAGCUAGAAACAAACAAAAAUUACUCCUUCCAAC
rnacentral:lncRNA from 1 species